rnacentral:tRNA from 1 species
GGCCGGGUGGCUCAGUAGGUUAGAGCAUUGUCCCAUACACCAAAAAGUUGCAGGUUCGAUCCCAGUCCCGGCAC